rnacentral:rRNA from 1 species
GACGAACGCUGGCGGCGUGCUUAACACAUGCAAGUCGAGCGAGAAAGCGGCUUCGGCCGUGAGUACAGCGGCGAACGGGUGAGUAACACGUGGGCAACCUGCCCCAGAGAUUGGGAUAACGUCCCGAAAGGGACGCUAAUACCGAAUAACGCGUGACCUGCCAAGUGGGUCACGCCAAAUGGUAGCCUCGGCCUCUGCUCUGGGAUGGGCCCGGGCCGGAUUAGCUUGUUGGUAGGGUAACGGCCUACCAAGGCGACGAUCCGUAGCUGGUCUGAGAGGACGAUCAGCCACACUGGGACUGAGACACGGCCCAGACUCCUACGGGAGGCAGCAGUGGGGAAUCUUUCGCAAGGGGCGAAAGCCUGACGCAGCAACGCCGCGUGAGCGAAGACGGCCUUCGGGUUGUAAAGCUCUGUCAGGAGGGACGAAGCCACUCGGGUGAAUAGCCCAGAGGGUGACGGUACCUCCAGAGGAAGCCCCGGCUAACUACGUGCCAGCCGCCGCGGUAA